GACGAACGCUGGCGGCGUGCUUGACACAUGCAAGUCGAACGGAAAGGCCCUGCUUUUGUGGGGUGCUCGAGUGGCGAACGGGUGAGUAACACGUGAGUAACCUGCCCUUGACUUUGGGAUAACUUCAGGAAACUGGGGCUAAUACCGGAUAGGAGCUCCUGCUGCAUGGUGGGGGUUGGAAAGUUUCGGCGGUUGGGGAUGGACUCGCGGCUUAUCAGCUUGUUGGUGGGGUAGUGGCUUACCAAGGCUUUGACGGGUAGCCGGCCUGAGAGGGUGACCGGCCACAUUGGGACUGAGAUACGGCCCAGACUCCUACGGGAGGCAGCAGUGGGGAAUAUUGCACAAUGGGCGGAAGCCUGAUGCAGCAACGCCGCGUGCGGGACGACGGCCUUCGGGUUGUAAACCGCUUUCGCCUGUGACGAAGCGUGAGUGACGGUAAUGGGUAAAGAAGCACCGGCUAACUACGUG
rnacentral:rRNA from 1 species